rnacentral:rRNA from 1 species
UACGGGGGGGGCAAGCGUUGUUCGGAAUUACUGGGCGUAAAGGGCUCGUAGGCGGCCAACUAAGUCAGACGUGAAAUCCCUCGGCUUAACCGGGGAACUGCGUCUGAUACUGGAUGGCUUGAAUCCGGGAGAGGGAUGCGGAAUUCCAGGUGUAGCGGUGGAAUGCGUAGAGAUCCGGAAGAACACCGGUGGCGAAGGCGGCCUGCUGGGCAGUUGCUGACACUGAGGCGCGACAGCGUGGGGAGCAAACAGGG